UAACUACUCCCUCCGUCCGGAAAUACUUGUCGGAAGAAUGGAUGUAUCUAGACAUAUUUUAAUUCUAGAUACAUCUAUUUUUAUUCAUUUUCGCGACAAGUAAUUCCGGACGGAGGGAGUACUAU
rfam:Triticum aestivum genome assembly, contig: Triticum_aestivum_CS42_TGACv1_scaffold_408188_5BL